rnacentral:tRNA from 1 species
GGGCGGUUAGCUCAGUUGGUAGAGCGGUGCGUUUACAUCGCAAUGGUCGCAGGUUCGAGUCCUGCACCGCCCA